UACAGAGGGUGCAAGCGUUAAUCGGAAUUACUGGGCGUAAAGCGCGUGUAGGCUGCUUCGCAAGUCGGAUGUGAAAGCCCUGGGCUCAACCCAGGAAGUGCAUUCGAAACUGCAGAGCUGGAGUCCUGGAGAGGAAGACGGAAUUCUCGGUGUAGAGGUGAAAUUCGUAGAUAUCGAGAGGAACACCGGUGGCGAAGGCGGCCUUCUGGGACAGUGACUGACGCUGAGACGCGAAAGCGUGGGGAGCAAACAGG
rnacentral:rRNA from 1 species